rnacentral:lncRNA from 1 species
UUCUAAUAAAAAUAAGAAAAAACUUCAAACACCCUCCUGUGGUUUCGUACUUUCUCACUUUAGUACCCUGUGGUUUAAAGUGUAUCAAGUUGGUAUCUUGUGAUUUCGCACUUUCUCACUUUAGUACCUGCGGUUUAGAGUAUAUCAAGUUAGUACUCUAUGAUUUUAUUUUUAUAUCAAGUUAGUAUUCUGUGGUUUUAUUUUUCUUUUUUUAUUAUCUAUUUCGGGGUAUUUUUUUGUUAAAUCAGUGACAAAGUUAACACCAAAGGGUACUAAAAUGAAUAUUCGAUAAAUCUAGUUAGGGCAUCUGAAGUUUUUUGUAUAUAAUUUGACAAAAUAUUAAACUACAGGAUACUAAAGUCGGAAAGUGCGAAACCACAGGGUGCUAACUUGAUACACUUUAAACGAUAGGGUACUAAAAUGAGAAAGUACGAAACCACAUGGUACUAAUCUGAUAUACUUUAAAUCACAGAGUACUAAAGUGAAAAAGUGUGAAGCCACAUAGAGGGGUAUUUGAAGUUUUUCCUAAAAAUAAUUUUGUCCUUAAUUUUUUCUC